rnacentral:rRNA from 1 species
GUGGGGAAUCUUCCGCAAUGGACGAAAGUCUGACGGAGCAACGCCGCGUGAGUGAUGAAGGUCUUCGGAUUGUAAAGCUCUGUUAAUCGGGACGAAAGAGCCUAGUGUGAAUAAUGCUAGGAAGUGACGGUACCGGAAUAGAAAGCCACGGCUAACUACGUGCCAGCAGCCGCGGUAAUACGUAGGUGGCAAGCGUUGUCCGGAAUUAUUGGGCGUAAAGCGCGCGCAGGCGGAUCUGCCAGUCUGUCUUAAAAGUUCGGGGCUUAACCCCGUGAUGGGAUGGAAACUACAGAUCUAGAGUAUCGGAGAGGAAAGUGGAAUUCCUAGUGUAGUGGUGAAAUGCGUAGAUAUUAGGAAGAACACCAGUGGCGAAGGCGACUUUCUGGACGAAAACUGACGCUGAGGCGCGAAAGCCAGGGGAGCGAACGGGAUUAGAAACCCUAGUAGUCC